rnacentral:rRNA from 1 species
UUGGUGAGGUAAUGGCUCACCAAGGCGACGACGGGUAGCCGGCCUGAGAGGGCGACCGGCCACACUGGGACUGAGACACGGCCCAGACUCCUACGGGAGGCAGCAGUGGGGAAUAUUGCACAAUGGGCGAAAGCCUGAUGCAGCGACGCCGCGUGAGGGAUGACGGCCUUCGGGUUGUAAACCUCUUUCAGCAGGGAAGAAGCGAAAGUGACAGUACCUGCAGAAGAAGCGCCGGCUAACUACGUGCCAGCAGCCGCGGUAAUACGUAGGGCGCAAGCGUUGUCCGGAAUUAUUGGGCGUAAAGAGCUCGUAGGCGGCUUGUCACGUCGGGUGUGAAAGCCCGGGGCUUAACCCCGGGUCUGCAUUCGAUACGGGCUAGCUAGAGUGUGGUAGGGGAGAUCGGAAUUCCUGGUGUAGCGGUGAAAUGCGCAGAUAUCAGGAGGAACACCGGUGGCGAAGGCGGAUCUCUGGGCCAUUACUGACGCUGAGGAGCGAAAGCGUGGGGAGCGAACAGGAUUAGAUACCCUGGUAGUCCACGCCGUAAACGGUGGGAACUAGGUGUUGGCGACAUUCCACGUCGUCGGUGCCGCAGCUAACGCAUUAAGUUCCCCGCCUGGGGAGUACGG